CUGUCUCUUGCUUCAACAGUGUUUAGACGGAACAG
rfam:Heterocephalus glaber contig12807, whole genome shotgun sequence.